UUCCCUCAACCCCGACCCCAACCCCAAGCAAACAACAAUUUAACAUUCCCAGCAAACAAACAAAACCUUAGAUACUAUCAGCUCAGAAUAUGGCUUCAACUGGGAUGAUUCAGAUAGGUGUUGUGGUCCUAGCCCUAGCAACCAUGGCUUGGACAGGAGGAAUCCAGGCUCAGUCGGGGUGCACCAGUGUGCUCCUCAGCUUGGCUCCAUGCCUGAGCUAUGUCACCGGGAGCUCGUCGACACCGUCAUCUUCGUGCUGCUCGCAACUUGCCAGUGUAGUGAAUACACAGCCAGAGUGUCUUUGCACUGUACUCAAUGGUGGUGGCUCAGUCCUGGGUUUCAACAUCAACCAAACUCUUGCCCUCGCCCUCCCUGGUGCAUGCAAUGUGAAAACUCCACCAGUCAGUAAAUGUGGUGCUGCAGGUUCUCUGGAAGUUAUUAUGCCGCCACCGGCAGCAUCUCCUAAUUCUAACUAGCUCAUCAUCCUUACUAUGAGGAUCUAAAGCAGCUCCAUCAGACAGCUCAAUAAUGGCAGUAUAGUACUAUGAUGCCUCCUUCAGUUUGUCACCCUCCUUCUCUUCAUGGUUUGAUAUAUAUAUAUAUAUAUAUGCUUUAAUUUCAAACAGCUUUAUGAGUCUUGAUUGAGAGCUCUGUGGAUUGGAGCUUCUCUAGUACUACUAUUUAAUACAAUGUUUAUGUGUAACAGUCUAUGUUUUAUAUUAAUGUUUUGUUUUAAGUUCUUAUGUAUGGGUCGUGUUAUACAAGUACAAUAAUGAACGACACUUUGUGUUUUGUUCUAUUUA